rnacentral:rRNA from 1 species
UGAGGAAUUUUGCACAAUGGACGAAAGUCUGAUGCAGCGACGCCUCGUGGACGACGAAGGUCUUCGGAUUGUAAAGUCCUGUCACCAGGGAGAAUCAUGAUAGUACCUGGAGAGGAAGCACCGGCAAACUAUGUGCCAGCAGCCGCGGUAAUACAUAGGGUGCAAGCGUUAUUCGGAUUUAUUGGGCGUAAAGCGUGCGUAGGUGGCUUUGCAAGUUGGAUGUUAAAUAAUACGGCUUAACCGUGUUAUGCGUUCAAAACUGUAGAGCUAGAGAGCGUCAGGGGAAAGUGGAACUCACAGUGUAGCGGUGAAAUGCGUAGAUAUUGUGAGGAACACCAGUGGCGAAGGCGACUUUCUGGGACGUCUCUGACACUGAUGCACGAAAGUAUGGGGAGCAAACAGG